rnacentral:rRNA from 1 species
CGAUGAUACGCGAAGAACCUUACCAGGUCUUGACAUCCCCCGCGAUGCUUUAGAGAUAAAGCGGAGGUAUUCGGGGAGACAGGUGGUGCAUGGUUGUCGUCAGCUCGUGUCGUGAGAUGUUGGGUUAAGUCCCGCAACGAGCGCAACCCCUAUUGCUAGUUACCAUCAUUAAGUUGGGGACUCUAGCGAGACUGCCAGUGAUAAACUGGAGGAAGGUGGGGAUGACGUCAAAUCAUCAUGCCCCUUAUGACCUGGGCUACAAACGUGAUACAAUGGCUGGAACAAAGGGAUGCGAAGCAGUGAUGUGGAGCGAAACCCAUAAAAACAGUCUCAGUUCGGAUUGAAGUCUGCAACUCGACUUCAUGAAGUCGGAAUCGCUAGUAAUCGUGAAUCAGAAUGUCACGGUGAAUACGUUCCCGGGCCUU